UAGCGGAACUCCUACGGGAGGCAGCAGUGGGGAAUUUUGGACAAUGGGCGCAAGCCUGAUCCAGCCAUGCCGCGUGCGGGAAGAAGGCCUUCGGGUUGUAAACCGCUUUUGUCAGGGAAGAAAAGUUCCGGGCUAAUACCCUGGGAUGAUGACGGUACCUGAAGAAUAAGCACCGGCUAACUACGUGACAGCAGCCGCGGUAAUACGUAGGGUGCAAGCGUUAAUCGGAAUUACUGGGCGUAAAGCGUGCGCAGGCGGUUAUGCAAGACAGAUGUGAAAUCCCCGGGCUCAACCUGGGAACUGCAUUUGUGACUGCAUAGCUAGAGUACGGUAGAGGGGGAUGGAAUUCCGCGUGUAGCAGUGAAAUGCGUAGAUAUGCGGAGGAACACCGAUGGCGAAGGCAAUCCCCUGGACCUGUACUGACGCUCAUGCACGAAAGCGUGGGGAGCAAACAGGAUUAGAAACCCUGGUAGUCCACUUAUG
rnacentral:rRNA from 1 species